GCAACACCGCGUGAGUGAAGAAGGGUUUCGGCUCGUAAAACUCUGUUGUUGGAGAAGAACGUGCGUAAGAGUAACUGUUUACGCAGUGACGGUAUCCAACCAGAAAGUCACGGCUAACUACGUGCCAGCAGCCGCGGUAAUACGUAGGUGGCAAGCGUUAUCCGGAUUUAUUGGGCGUAAAGCGAGCGCAGGCGGUUGCUUAGGUCUGAUGUGAAAGCCUUCGGCUUAACCGAAGAAGUGCAUCGGAAACCGGGCGACUUGAGUGCAGAAGAGGACAGUGGAACUCCAUGUGUAGCGGUGGAAUGCGUAGAUAUAUGGAAGAACACCAGUGGCGAAGGCGGCUGUCUGGUCUGCAACUGACGCUGAGGCUCGAAAGCAUGGGUAGCGAACAGGAUUAGAUACCCUGGUAGUCCAUGCCGUAAACGAUGAGUGCUAGGUGUUGGAGGGUUUCCGCCCUUCAGUGCCGAAGCUAACGCAUUAAGCACUCCGCCUGGGGAGUACGACCGCAAGGUUGAAACUCAAAGGAAUUGACGGGGGCCCGCACAAGCGGUGGAGCAUGUGGUUUAAUUCGAAGCUACGCGAAGAACCUUACCAGGUCUUGACAUCUUGCGCCCACCUCAGAGAUGAGGCGUUCCCUUCGGGGACGCAAAGACAGGUGGUGCAUGGUCGUCGUCAGCUCGUGUCGUGAGAUGUUGGGUUAAGUCCGCAACGAGCGCA
rnacentral:rRNA from 2 species